rnacentral:rRNA from 1 species
UACGUAGGGGGCAAGCGUUGUCCGGAAUUAUUGGGCGUAAAGCGCGCGCAGGCGGCUGUCUAAGUCUGGUGUAUAAGCCCAGGGCUCAACCCUGGUUCGCACGGGAAACUGGACGGCUUGAGUGCAGGAGAGGGAAGUGGAAUUCCACGUGUAGCGGUGAAAUGCGUAGAGAUGUGGAGGAACACCAGUGGCGAAGGCGACUUUCUGGACUGUAACUGACGCUGAGGCGCGAAAGCGUGGGGAGCAAACAGG